GCCUAUGGCCAUACACCCUGAACGUGCCCAGUCUCAUCUGAUCUCGGAAGCUAAGCAAGGUUGGGCCUGGUUAGUACUUGGAUGGAAAACCUCACAUUCUGGCAUUCUAGGUGGACACAUGUU
rfam:Chlorocebus sabaeus isolate 1994-021 chromosome 5, whole genome shotgun sequence.